UCAGUCGACUCCUACGGGGAGGCAGCAGUGGGGAAUAUUGCACAAUGGGGGAAACCCUGAUGCAGCCAUGCCGCGUGUGUGAAGAAGGCCUUCGGGUUGUAAAGCACUUUCAGUAGGGAGGAAGGUAGUGUAGUUAACAUCUGCAUUAUUUGACGUUACCUACAGAAGAAGCACCGGCUAACUCCGUGCCAGCAGCCGCGGUAAUACGGAGGGUGCGAGCGUUAAUCGGAAUUACUGGGCGUAAAGCGCAUGCAGGCGGCCUGUUAAGUCAGAUGUGAAAGCCCGGGGCUUAACCUCGGAAUUGCAUUUGAAACUGGCAGGCUAGAGUCUUGUAGAGGGGGGUAGGAAUUUCAGGUGUAGCGGUGAAAUGCGUAGAGAUCUGAAGGAAUACCAGUGGCGAAGGCGGCCCCCUGGACAAAGACUGACGCUCAGAUGCGAAAGCGUGGGGAGCAAACAGGAUUAGAUACCCUGGUAG
rnacentral:rRNA from 1 species